GAGACUCUGUGCGCGUGCAUAUCAAUAAGCGGAGGAAAAGAAACUAACAAGGAUUCCCUUAGUAACGGCGAGUGAAGCGGGAAGAGCUCAAAUUUGAAAUCUUCAAGGUUCUACCUUGACGAAUUGUAGUUUAAAGAAGUGUUUUCUGUUGGAGUUUUGGUAAAAGUUCUUUGGAAUAGGACAUCAUAGAGGGUGAGAAUCCCGUAUUUGACCAUUAUUUCCAACUUUGUGAUACACUUUCAAAGAGUCGGAUUGUUUGGGAAUGCAGUCCAAAAUGGGUGGUAAAUCUCAUCUAAAGCUAAAUACUGGCGAGAGACCGAUAGCGAACAAGUACCGUGAGGGAAAGAUGAAAAGAACUUUGAAAAGAGAGUUAAACAGUACGUGAAAUUGUCAAAAGGGAAGCGUUUGACACCAGUGUUGUUUUCUCGAAAAUCAAUUAAAAAUGGUGGGAUUUUGUGUUGUACUGACUUUAUCAGCUUUCUGCACUUUUUUCCUAUCUUUUUUAAUGCACUUUUCGUUUAACAAGUCAACAUCAAUUUCUUUUGUUGUAAAAGGGUCAUUGGAAGGUGGCUUUCUUUUCGGAGAAAGUGUUUAUAGCCUUUGGCUUCUGCAAUCGGAGAGAUUGAGGUCUGCAGCGUAGAUCCUUCGGGGUUAGAUACAUUUGUGCUAAGUUAUAGCCUUUCAUAGACAACUUGUUGACUAUGAUCAGUCAUGUAGCUUACUCGCUUAUGCUAUUUUACCUACGCUUAGGAUGUUGACAGCAGUAUAGACUGU
rnacentral:rRNA from 1 species